AACGCACAUUGCACUCCUUGGUAUUCCGAGGAGUAUGCCUGUUUCAGUAUCAUGAGCACUCUCACAACUAACCUUUGGGUGAAAUUGUGGAAUUGGAAUGCGCCGAUUGUAAUAAUCAGCCCUUCUAAAAUAUAUUUCAUGACUGUCACCUAACACAGCAGUUUGGCCUAAUAGUUUUGACAUUGAUUUGUCAAAUCUUUGGCUUACAUUUGCUUCAGGUUGUCAGUCUUGAUAAUACAGAAAACUCAUUCAAAUUUUGAUCUGAAAUCAGGUAGGGCUACCCGCUGAACUUAA
rnacentral:misc_RNA from 2 species